AUGGUUUUUGCAAGGGAAGGUCAUGCCUGACAAACCUGCUGGUAUUCUUUGAAGAAGCUAACAAGUCUUUUGGUUAUAAUGAGGCUCAUGAUAUUUUGUAGAUUUCCAAAAGGCAUUUGAUAACGUACCACAUGGGAGGCUUGUUAGCAAAAUGAAGACAAUAGGAAUUAGAGGAGGUGUUUCAGAGUGGAUUUGGAACUGGCUACAGGGUAGAACCAUAGACUCUUUAAGAAUAUGGACAAAGCCACUGUGACGUCACCGAUUGACUCUCUGUGGGUCUGGAAAAAACGUAUUGAAGCCUAGGAAGUGAUUGACAGUCCGGAGUGGAAAAGCCAUUAACCUGCAAGCUUACUUCACUUAUCCAUCACCCUAAAGUGAUUGCUGAACGAACUUGAGGUAAUCUGGCUGUCUGCCGUUAUGUUUUAUAAUAUAUUAUCAAAUGUUUAUGGAGUUUAAUUUCCAUCCAUGACUCUACUGUUAUUUCAUUGCGUCAUAUGUAUGAAAUUAACAAUUUAAUUAUGUUCAGUUAUCUUCAAUUUAUGUUUCUUAGCUAAACAUCAGCGAGUAUGCUUAGCUAGCAUACCAGCUUGACAGAGCUAGGUAGGCUAGCCAUGGUUAGCUCAUGCAUUAGCGAUAAAUGUCCCAUAGAACUGCUGUUCACCUAGCAAGUUCUCACCGAAGGUUUUCGCCCCAGUCAGUUAGUCUAAUGAGCCAAUAACUGUUACACCACCACCGUUUGUGGUGUUCACUCGCUGGGAGACACUAGCUAACCUUUCGCAAGUCACGUUAACCAAGUAGAAAUUAACAUCGUCAGCGGUGAUUAACAAAUCUACCAAGUAUUUUAAUCAUGAUUUUGCAGGCUUGAAUUUCAAAUUAUUUGCAUUUUCUUGUAGACCAUUAAGAGCAAAGGAGAAGAGCCAACAUCCUAAUUGUGAAUUUGUCUGUACGCACAGUUUACAGCAAAGUAUUAGUUUUUUUUAUGUGAAAGAAAACCGACGUGUGCCCCAGUAACGGAUGCUGAGCUGAAAAAUGAGCAGGCAGAAAAUCCCUUAAACGUAUCAACGUUAUUAUUGGUAAUCUCUGAAAAUGUUCAUGGCAAAGAUCUGGAAUACGCAGAUUUUGUUAUUUGAACAAGCGCAGGUUAGAUAGCCUUUUUGAGUUUAUAAUUACUGUAAUAAAUACACCUGUAUUUACAAUAAUAUCAGCAUGAUAAUUAUUGUUUGUUAAUUAACUUUUAGAUUCAGUGUGACUCUUGUAAAAGAUGGCUCCAUCAAUUAUGCCUAGGCAUGAGUACACCACUCCUCAACAAGAAAACCAAAGGAUUUCCACAACCAGUGUGAUGUGCUGGUUCCUCUGUUGAUGUUGUGUCUAUCUGCUGUUUGUCUGCUGUGUGUUUUUAAAAAAUUCCCAAACCUUUUUACAAGAGGUGUUUUGUCUGUUGACGAACUUUAUAGUUCAGAAAUGUAUAUACAUUUUAGUCAAGUGUGUUAUUCCCGUUUUUCAUAAAACCAAGGGCUGUGCAACGUGUCAGUAUUCUGUGAGCAAUCCAGUAGUAAUUUGGGGUGUCUAGGUCAUGUGACCAAAAAGCUAUUGAAAUUCCUAACUUUGAAAUAUUCAUAUAAAAUUGCAUGAGAUGAAAAUGGACAAAGCAAAGGCUGUGCAACCUGUGUACAUUGUUUGUGAACAAUUAAAAAGUGGUUUGAAGUUUCUAGAUCCUUUUGUCUAGGAGCUAUUGAAAUUGUAAGUUAAAAUCUCAAACUAAAUUUGUUUAAAAUAUUCAAACACUGAUAUGAAUAAACCAAUGGCUGUGCAACAUUCCUGCACACGUUGCAGUUUAAAAUUG